ACAGGUCAACUGCAUUUAAACAACUGCUAGAUAAACCGCCCAUAACUUGAAAUGCUGGAUGAAAAACAUAUGUUGUACUUCCUCUACAAAGUUGUUCUAUAUCAUUUUUAACCAAGUUUUGGAUUGAAGAGGUGAAUUAUUGCACUGCAUACAACUACGGGCCACACACUCAGUGCUGCCACCCAUAAACACCUUACCUCAUAUUGAAGGACUGGUGACACAAGGCUGUACCCAACAUCAUGCAGGGCUGUGUGAUGACUGAUUCCAGUGAAUGAAAGAGUCUGGACAGAAGAGACAGUAGAAAGUACGUCCAUUUCAUCAGACUGGAUGUGUUCAAAGGUGAUAACAGAAGCUGAAUGAACUUGGCUGCCACUGUCCCCGCCUACAGCCAAAGACUGAAUUUGGUGAUGGCCCUCCUUGAGUAGAGCCAAGUGGUGCUCCAUAGCCAAGACUGUCAGCCCAAAAGAGUUGCUGAUCUGCCUGAUCUCAUGUUCCAAGAAUGAAACCCUGGCAUGGAAGUGGCAUAUCUGCCAGUUAAUGUCAACAUUUGAUGUGCAGUCAGAGAGCAAACAAGGUUUCAUAUUGUGGUAAAAAGGGAAAUACUGUUCGCUUUAAUUCUAGUUUCUUUGUGUCAGAUGUAUUAAGAGUCUCAUAAAAUAGUGAAAGAAUUUCAUUCUUACAAUUAUAAGAAGCAUAUAUAUAUAUAUAUAUAUAUAUAUACACACACACACAUAUACAUACACAAUGUACCUACUUCUACAAGUACAAACAAAAUGUAAAAUCUAGCUAGUAAUGAAUAGCUUGAAACAUCCUUUUCAGAAAACAUUAUAAUACAAGACUCCAGUGACUUUAUCUAACGCUCAGUUACUAAGACGGGGAAGAGAACACUUAACUGUGAAUGAGCUUCCCUACAGCAAAAGGAAAGUGCUCCCAGACUGAAAAAUAGGCAGGGACAGACUAAGAUAUCAUGUAGAGUGGGUACAGCUUGCUGUCCAGCUCUCACCAGCCAUGUGUAUAUGACAUGUGCUUUAUUGUCCUCCAGUCUUCUGGAUGAGAGAUCACAGGAGAUCACAUUUCAAACAGUGAUGUCCCAAGUGUGGGAAGAACAGAGCAAUGGGACUCUCACUGCUGUAGGAGGCAGUGCUCAGCACCACAGGAGAUAGUCCUGAGCUCCCAAGGACAAUAAUUAAUGACAACCAGCACUGGCACAGCACUUCUGUUGAGUCUCAGAGCAGAAACACCUGCAGCAUAUCCCACCCUGGCAGGGAAAUGGAGCUGGUGACCUAACAAUCUUUCCCACCUCUAACUUCUGGGGCUUUAUGAAUCGUCAGUCACACCUAGGUGUGAUAUCGCUAUAAAAUCCCAGUCACGUAAGAGAGCUGGCAGGAAGCUCUGGCUGUGCAACUCUGUGGUUUUAUGCUUAGCUGUGUUCUAAAUACUGAAAGAAUGAAGUAGACUUUCAAGCAUCAGCGUUGACAGUUGCUUUCAGAGAUAUUCAAACAAACAAAAUCCAGUCACAUAGACAGCAAAACCAGCUGCAGCUUGGGCUACAGCACAAACAUGACUUUUUGUUUUGAAAAGAAAGUCAUCACUAUCUAAAUGCCACCUGUGGUGCGGUGUGACUGAUACAGCUCUUCUUCAAGAGCU
rnacentral:lncRNA from 7 species